GAUGAACGCUGGCGGCGUGCCUAAUACAUGCAAGUCGAGCGAACGGACGAGAAGCUUGCUUCUCUGAUGUUAGCGGCGGACGGGUGAGUAACACGUGGAUAACCUACCUAUAAGACUGGGAUAACUUCGGGAAACCGGAGCUAAUACCGGAUAAUAUUUUGAACCGCAUGGUUCAAAAGUGAAAGACGGUCUUGCUGUCACUUAUAGAUGGAUCCGCGCUGCAUUAGCUAGUUGGUAAGGUAACGGCUUACCAAGGCAACGAUGCAUAGCCGACCUGAGGGGGUGAUCGGCCACCCUGGAAGUGAGACACGGUCCAGACUCCUACGGGAGGCAGCAGUAGGGAAUCUUCCGCAAUGGGCGAAAGCCUGACGGAGCAACGCCGCGUGAGUGAUGAAGUUCCUCGGAUCGUAAAACUCUGUUAUUAGGGAAGAACAUAUGUGUAAGUAACUGUGCACAUCUUGACGGUACCUAAUCAGAAAGCCACGGCUAACUACGUG
rnacentral:rRNA from 1 species